GUCAGUCACAUACCCAAAGACAUUUCUUUUUCGUUUUUAUAGUCCCAGGAGACUCCUGCUGAUCGGCGGUUCCUUGAUGUGAUUUUAAAACAAUUUUCAGAAGGACAGUGUUCUUGGGAUGAAUUGUGACCCCCUCAAAAUAUUCCUAUGUUGAAUUUCCUCAGUACCUCAGAAUGUUAUUAGAGAAAGUAUCUUUACAAAGGUAAUCAAGUUAAAAUGAGGUCAUUAGGAUGGACCCUAAUCUACUAUGGCUGGUGUCCUUACAAGAAGAGGAAAUGUGGACAGACAGGAAGAGAGGAAAGAGACACAGGGAGAAGGCCCUCUACAAGCCACCAAGAGAGGCUGCAUCCUUCACAGAUCCCUCCCUCACAGCCAUCAGAGGGAAUCAAGCUUGCUGCUUGAUUUCAGACUUCCAGGCUCCAGAACUGUGAAACAAUAAGUUUCUGUUGUUUAAGCCACCCAGUUUGUGGUACCUGGUUACAGCAGCCCUGGGAAACUAAUACAGAGAGUAAACAACAACUCCUUUAGACAGAAAAAAAGACUCCAUUCAUGUCUUUUCUAAUCACUGGUAAAUUCAAGCAUUUUACAGGAUAGUUUAGUUUCUCUAUGGGAGCAUACACAUUGUAUGUUUAUUAUAUGUGUGACUUGGUAUAGGAGAGAGAAAGAGAGAGACAGAGAGAGGGAAACCAUGCCUUUAAAACUUGUGAGCGGGCCAAUGGAGUGUUAGGCACAUAUAAUCAGCUAAAUUUAACAAAUAUUUAUUGAUCUUACCAUGUGGCAGGUGCUUGGCUAGAGACUCAGAAAGCACAGUCCCUGCUUUCAUGGAAUUCACAAUCUGGCAGAAAAAAACACAAGUGUAUAAAUAAUGACACUUCAGAGUGAUAAGAUCAGUGAUUAAAGUGUGUGCAGAGUGCAAAGGGAAUACAAGGAAGAAGUGACGAUCUCAAGUAAAUGGGACCCAUCAGGGAUGGCUUCUCAGAGGAGGGUCCAAGCUGAGUUAAAAUCUGCAAUCUUAUCCUUGAGGUCAACCUACCAAUCAAUGAGAUAGGUUGCAUUUAUAAAUGCAAACAGUUUGAAUAUGUUUUCAGGAGCAGAAAAAUCACUUGCGGAUCAUUGCAUCGUUGUUUAUAACAGCAAAAAAAGAGGAAAUAAUCCACAUCUUUAGUAAUAUAUAGUAUUAAGUAAACUAUGUAUUUACAACUACGAAUAUUGUAUAUUCAUCCAAUGGUCAACCAUGGAAAACUUAAAAUGAGGUAAAGCUACAUGUGCCAUCAUGGAAAGAUCUUCAAGAUGUAUUGCUAAGUGAACAAAGUAAAUGGUAGACCAAUGCACAUAGUAUGAUACAAUUAUGUUAUUCAUAAAAGGAUAUGCAAAUACUUACUUUUGCUUUUUGUUUUUUCUGCUCCUGAAGGUGACCUUAACUAAUAGUUACUUACAAUUCUGAAUGCAUGGCAAGAACUCCACAAGAAUACAUUAAAACUGACAUCAUUAAUUGCCCAGAAGGACAGGGAGGAGAGGCAGAGCUGGAUUAAUCUGAUUGAAUGACCUGGAUCAUUUAUGGCAUGAAGGGAAGACAGCUGUUGAAUUCCAGCCCCUGACAGAAGGCUCCAGACCGUCAAUGAUAGCUUGGCUCUGCUAGUUUGAUGCAUCAGACACUCCCUCCCCAAAGUGCUGCCUGUGUCAAUUUUUCUUAACAAAUAGAAUAUUGUAUAGAGAGUGAGCUUUUUGUAAAGCAAAAUAUAAGUGUUGCGAUUAGCAGCAGUAUCUCUUAAAGCUAAAGAUGCAAAGUCAAGUUUAAUUAACCAGGUUUGUGUUUGACUGAUUUUUUUAAAGGCAGUAAAGAAUUUUAAGAAUAAUUGGUUACAUAAUCUAAUAGGCUUUUCACUUUUAUUUGGCAGAUUUAGUAACAAUUAGACAAUUGAUAGUGACAUCAAAAUGCUCAACUAAUUUUCCAACAUUUUUGAUUAGUUAACUGAAUCCAAUCAGAAUUUUUUAAAAGACAGUUUCUAUAUGUAGACAGUAUCCCUUGUGUUUAACUAAUGAAAGAAGAUUAUACAAAAGGAAAGUAUCAAGAUUUUAAAUAUUGACUUCUAUAAAUCGAUUUUGUCUAAUCAAAAAUUUACAGUGACAUACACCAACAAGUUAAGUGUCUAGGUCUAGAUGAACUUUAUAUGCAUCUUUGUAUUUUUCUGCAAACUCAAGGUUUUUUUUAAGGACUAUUAUAUUCUUCUAGUGUUUUCUGAAAGUUUGCAUAUGCUACCCUUACAAUAAAUGGAACAACCAAGGUUUUAAAAUCAAAUUACAAUAAAAUAAUGUUUUCUUUCCUG
rnacentral:lncRNA from 1 species